AUCCAUCUGACGAGUCCCAAAUAGAACGAAAUGUGAAUGCUGAAU
rnacentral:hammerhead_ribozyme from 1 species